rnacentral:rRNA from 1 species
GGCGUAAAGAGCUCGUAGGCGGUUUGUCGCGUCUGCUGUGAAAUCCGGAGGCUCAACCUCCGGCCUGCAGUGGGUACGGGCAGACUAGAGUGCGGUAGGGGAGAUUGGAAUUCCUGGUGUAGCGGUGGAAUGCGCAGAUAUCAGGAGGAACACCGAUGGCGAAGGCAGAUCUCUGGGCCGUAACUGACGCUGAGGAGCGAAAGGGUGGGGAGCAAACAGGCUUAGAUACCCUGGUAGUCCACCCCGUAAACGUUGGGAACUAGUUGUGGGGUCCAUUCCACGGAUUCCGUGACGCAGCUAACGCAUUAAGUUCCCCGCCUGGGGAGUACGGCCGCAAGGCUAAAACUCAAAGGAAUUGACGGGGACCCGCACAAGCGGCGGAGCAUGCGGAUUAAUUCGAUGCAACGCGAAGAACCUUACCAAGGCUUGACAUAUACGAGAACGGGCCAGAAAUGGUCAACUCUUUGGACACUCGUAAACAGGUGGUGCAUGGUUGUCGUCAGCUCGUGUCGUGAGAUGUUGGGUUAAGUCCCGCAACGAGCGCAACCCUCGUUCUAUGUUGCCAGCACGUAAUGGUGGGAACUCAUGGGAUACUGCCGGGGUCAACUCGGAGGAAGGUGGGGAUGACGUCAAAUCAUCAUGCCCCUUAUGUCUUGGGCUUCACGCAUGCUACAAUGGCCGGUACAAAGGGCUGCAAUACCGCGAGGUGGAGCGAAUCCCAAAAAGCCGGUCCCAGUUCGGAUUGAGGUCUGCAACUCGACCUCAUGAAGUCGGAGUCGCUAGUAAUCGCAGAUCAGCAACGCUGCGGUGAAUACGUUCCCGGGUCUUGUACACACCGCCCGUCAAGUCAUGAAAGUCGGUAACACCUGAAGCCGGUGGCCUAACCCUUGUGGAGGGAGCCGUC